AACGAACGCUGGCGGCGUGCUUUAGACAUGCAAGUCGUGCGGAAAGGCUCCUUCGGGAGUACUCGAGCGGCGCACGGGUGAGUAACACGUGGGUAAUCUACCUAUGGGUCUGGGACAACCCCGGGAAACUGGGGCUAAUACCGGAUAAGACCACGACCUCCUCGGAGGUCGCGGAAAAAAGGUGGCCUCUCCAUGGAAGCUACCGCCUCGGGGAUGAGCCCGCGUCCCAUUAGCUUGUUGGUGAGGUAACGGCUCACCAAGGCGACGAUGGGUGGCUGGUCUGAGAGGAUGAUCAGCCACACUGGAACUGAGACACGGUCCAGACUCCUACGGGAGGCAGCAGUCGGGAAUCUUGGGCAAUGGGCGAAAGCCUGACCCAGCAACGCCGCGUGAGGGAUGAAGGCCUUCGGGUCGUAAACCUCUGUCGGGAGGGAAGAACGGUUUCCAUUCGAAUAGGCUGGAAGCCUGACGGUACCUCCCAAAGGAAGCGCCGGCUAACUCCGUG
rnacentral:rRNA from 1 species